rnacentral:piRNA from 1 species
UGGGGCUUAUCUUGAUGUACUACUCUCU